rnacentral:rRNA from 1 species
CACGUAGGGUGCGAGCGUUGUCCGGAAUUAUUGGGCGUAAAGAGCUCGUAGGCGGUGUGUCGCGUCGGCCGUGAAAACCUGCAGCUUAACUGUGGGCUUGCGGUCGAUACGGGCAUCACUGGAGUUCGGCAGGGGAGACUGGAAUUCCUGGUGUAGCGGUGAAAUGCGCAGAUAUCAGGAGGAACACCGGUGGCGAAGGCGGCUUCCUGGACCGACACUGACGC